UACAGAGGUCUCAAGCGUUGUUCGGAUUCAUUGGGCGUAAAGGGUGCGUAGGUGGCGCUGUAAGUCGGGUGUGAAAUCCUGGAGCUCAACUCCAGAACUGCCUUUGAUACUGAAGAUCUCGAGUCCGGGAGAGGUGAGUGGAACUGCGAGUGUAGAGGUGAAAUUCGUAGAUAUUCGCAAGAACACCAGUGGCGAAGGCGGCUCACUGGCCCGGUACUGACGCUGAGGCACGAAAGCGUGGGGAGCAAACAGG
rnacentral:rRNA from 1 species